UUCCUGUGAGCUCUCUGGCCUGG
rnacentral:piRNA from 1 species